CUCAACUUUUAAAUGACUGAAGUUUUAUUUAUAAAAAGUAUCCCUUCAGCUGGCAUUUCAAUAUUAAUAUGAGGGACGAUCAUUAAUACGAGCUUGUAUCCUGGGAAAGAAUGUAACAGAACAAUGCGGAAACAUCGUCAUACAUGAUAUUUCCCGCGCUACAACUUGCUUGUCUGAUAUACAAUCGUUGUGCACAGCAAAAUCUUUCGAAAUGGCAGUUUUCGAGUCACAAAAAGCCAGGAUUAACUCUGAUAUGCUGUCUCGAUAUAUCAGCAGGCCGAUUUGCUUCGUUGGACGCGUUGAGAAGGUAGUAUGCUAGUGUUAUUGGUCCACCGUUAGUUCAGCACUAUAAAAUUUAUUUCUAGUGAGUGUUUCACUGUAAAGUCGACUCCUGUUGUAUUAGGCGCGUGUGACAAAUACAAUUUGAUUUGGAUGGCGGUCUUCUCUUGACGAAAGGUCCACCCAACAGGAAACUCAUUCAGUCUUUCGGACGGAGACGGGAGUGCUGCAUCAGUGGACCUCAACGAGCCCGUAAGUACAGUCACAGCGUUUCUAUAACGUUAGUUGCAAGACAUAACUAACUAGCUAGCUACAGUAGACUGGUUGAACAGUAAGUAGCAAGGAAUUGAGAAUACAAAUAUCUGACAAAGACAACACUCAAUGAAUGUGAACAUUGUACUUGAGUUUAGUAUAUUGCCUGAUGUAACAUUGUUUAUUUUUGAUGAGCUGAGCGGGGUGGUGGAGGUGCUUGGUAUGGUGUCCAACAAAGGGACAAUAAUGGCCUCUGCAUACAACAUACUCAGAGAAGACAAAGGCAUUCCUUUCGCUGUACACCUGGAGCUGUACAAUGAAGUCCUGAAAGUCAUCCAUGAUUUCCCCCAGCACUAUCCAUUUGGAAUAGCCACCAGUGGAUGAGCACUUUGCACAUAUUCAUUACUUCCUAAAGAUCAUUGUCAACAUGAAACUCCAUUCUCUUGUUUGCCAUUUUUUAAGAUACUUGUAUAUGAGUGUUAAAUGUAUAUGUACAGUUUCUUCUAUUUCUUGAUGUGGAAAAUAAAAAUGAGUGCUUUUAUAACGGUCUGUUUAGUCAUUACAACAAGAUUCAUUAAUAAACCCAAAAUAAGCCGUGUCUCAA